UCCUCUCAUGAUCUCACUUUUCAGGUCUGGAAGCUCUUCUGACUUCAAUGCUUCUCCAGAGCUGAGCUCUGUAUGUAGCAAACAAGAUUUUGCUAGAUGUGUGUAUGUACUGUCUUAGCAGCCAGAUGCUGAGGAAAAUUAAAGUGCUGACCAAGACCAAGAUUUCUUUGAGGACAACGGAUAUAAUCUAAUUUUUCAGGAAAAAAAUAGAACCACAUAAAGCAAACAUUGGUUUUUUAGAAAGUAUGAAUUAGGACACCUUGGGCCUCCACAUGUCCUGAUGUGUAAAGAAGAGUUAUGCACUGUAUAAAAUACUCCAGACUCAAAAUCAAGAAAAGGAUGUGGAUCACGGAACCUAUUGAUAAGUCCAGGUGCUGAUGCUCAGCUGCUGCUUAUGAUGAGGAACUACUGCUCAGGGGCUCUACUCUCCUUUCUGUGGUUUGGAAUCACUGGGUUACUCCAAUCAACCAGCCCUACCUACAUAUGCAUGAAUCCCAAUCACUGACACCCUUUGAGUUAAUUUUCCAGGAAGAAAUUAGUUCACACUGUUAGACAACCAACAGAGAAGGAAGAAGGAAGACAAGGUUACAUGGCUCCAUCAUUAGCUAAUCUUGGUUUGGGACUUACAAGUAGUAUGACCUGAGGAAGUACAUGACCUCUCUCUAUGAACUGCUGUUAGUGAUAGAUAUUAAGAAAUAGAUUCUAGUUCUUAAGAGUCCUAGACAGCACUCUUUCCACUACAGCAUGCUGGCUACUGGUUAUACUUGGUCCCAUAAUGAUUCAGAGGGAACAAAUUUCUCUGAGUCAAAAGGCUUUGGGUUUUGUGCAAAACUCCUUAAAAUUCAAUGCCUAAUGCUCCUGUCAGCUGGGGCAACAGAAGAGCCUGGGUGAAUGGCUUCAAAGUAUUCCCUGACCCUUUGGGUAUUGUUCUCAACAGAGGAAGCACUAGGGGAGAAUUUUGGAAAUUUGGAGGAAGGAGCAUUUUUGGUUGUCACAUGACUGGUGAGAAGUGCUGCAUUGACAGAUAGAUGGCAGGAGCCAGGGAUGCUAGACAUCUUGCAAAUCAUGAGACAGUCCUACUCCACAAAGAAUUGGCCCACAUCCCGAGUGACUUUUAAAUGUCCCGCUAGACACUCAUGUGAGUUUAAAAAGAAAAAAAACUUUAUUUGAAAUCAUCUGAGCCUAGAACCUAUUUCCGUUUUACACAUAAUCACAAAUUAUUUAUCGCAUGAUUCUAAUGUACAUUGAAUUUUUUGGAAACAAAACUACUAUGAAAAUGGAAGGAAGACUGUACUUUGUUUUGUUUGGAACUUGGCUAAGACAUGUUCAUCAUUUUUCCUUUAGAUGUUCAUCAUUUUGAGUGUUAACAAUGGCAGUGCCACUCAUGGCAUUUGAGUCACCAAUAUACUACACCCAUAUGGUCUGAAUUCAUAGCUUCUACACCCAUGGACAUUCUACAUAUGUGUGCAAGCACCUGAUUACUUCAGUACAGCUUCUGUAGUCAUGCUCAAGCAUUUACAUGUUGAAAUUAUUUUAUUAUAAAUGCUUUCAUUUUAUGUCUCCUAUGUAGUACAAUUAAGGGAUUAUUUUUUAAAUUGUAUGUGUAAAUAUGUAGAAAUUUCAUUUCAA